AGUGCUUGCACUCUGUGAAACAAGAUACAGGCUAGCGGCGGACGGGUGAGUAACACGUGGGUAACCUGCCCAAGAGAUCGGGAUAACACCUGGAAACAGAUGCUAAUACCGGAUAACAACAGAUGAUGCCUAUCAACUGUUUAAAAGAUGGUUCUGCUAUCACUCUUGGAUGGACCUGCGGUGCAUUAGCUAGUUGGUAGGGUAACGGCCUACCAAGGCGAUGAUGCAUAGCCGAGUUGAGAGACUGAUCGGCCACAUUGGGACUGAGACACGGCCCAAACUCCUACGGGAGGCAGCAGUAGGGAAUCUUCCACAAUGGACGCAAGUCUGAUGGAGCAACGCCGCGUGAGUGAAGAAGGGUUUCGGCUCGUAAAGCUCUGUUGUUGGUGAAGAAGGACAGGGGUAGUAACUGACCUUUGUUUGACGGUAAUCAAUUAGAAAGUCACGGCUAACUACGUGCCAGCAGCCGCGGUAAUACGUAGGUGGCAAGCGUUGUCCGGAUUUAUUGGGCGUAAAGCGAGUGCAGGCGGCUCGAUAAGUCUGAUGUGAAAGCCUUCGGCUCAACCGGAGAAUUGCAUCAGAAACUGUCGAGCUUGAGUACAGAAGAGGAGAGUGGAACUC
rnacentral:rRNA from 1 species